rnacentral:rRNA from 1 species
GGACCCGCGGCGCAUUAGCUAGUUGGUGGGGUAACGGCUCACCAAGGCGACGAUGCGUAGCCGACCUGAGAGGGUGAUCGGCCACACUGGGACUGAGACACGGCCCAGACUCCUACGGGAGGCAGCAGUAGGGAAUCUUCCGCAAUGGACGAAAGUCUGACGGAGCAACGCCGCGUGAGUGAUGAAGGUUUUCGGAUCGUAAAGCUCUGUUGUUAGGGAAGAACAAGUGCGAGAGUAACUGCUCGCACCUUGACGGUACCUAACCAGAAAGCCACGGCUAACUACGUGCCAGCAGCCGCGGUAAUACGUAGGUGGCAAGCGUUGUCCGGAAUUAUUGGGCGUAAAGGGCUCGCAGGCGGUUUCUUAAGUCUGAUGUGAAAGCCCCCGGCUCAACCGGGGAGGGUCAUUGGAAACUGGGAAACUUGAGUGCAGAAGAGGAGAGUGGAAUUCCACGUGUAGCGGUGAAAUGCGUAGAGAUGUGGAGGAACACCAGUGGCGAAGGCGACUCUCUGGUCUGUAGCUGACGCUGAGGAGCGAAAGCGUGGGGAGCGAACAGGAUAGAUACCCUGGUAGUCCACGCCGUAACGAUGAGGCUAAGUGUUAGGGGGUUCCGCCCCUAGUGCUGCGUAACGCAUAAGCCUCCGCCUGGG